AAGCAAAGAAAGUGAUUGUAUCUCUGUUUCAAGUUCCUUUUCUUCUGGAAAACAUUCUCCAUGGCCAUGUGAAGAGAAAUUACAGGAAAUACAGACUAGAGGAACAAGCUAAACAAUGUCAACAGAAAACAGUAACCCAGAAAGUAGGACAUUCUACACAGUUGCUUUACCUAACUAUAAACUGCCCUGGCAUUGUGGUGUAGCGGGUAAAACCACCACGUGUGAUGCCAGUAUCCCAUA